rnacentral:rRNA from 1 species
CCUACGGGAGGCAGCAGUAGGGAAUAUUGCGCAAUGGGCGAAAGCCUGACGCAGCGACGCCGCGUGGAUGAUGAAGCCCUUCGGGGUGUAAAGUCCUUUCAGCGGGGACGAACCGGCCGCAAGGCCCUGACGGUACCCGCAGAAGAAGCACCGGCCAACUCCGUGCCAGCAGCCGCGGUAAUACGGAGGGUGCGAGCGUUGUUCGGAUUCACUGGGCGUAAAGGGUGCGUAGGCGGGUCGGCAGGUCGGAUGUGAAACCCCCACAGCUUAACUGGGGGCCGGCAUUCGAAACCGCCGAUCUUGAGUGCGGGAGAGGAGAGCGGAAUUCCUGGUGUAGCGGUGAAAUGCGUAGAUAUCAGGAAGAACACCGGUGGCGAAGGCGGCUCUCUGGCCCGACACUGACGCUCAGGCACGAAGGCUAGGGGAGCAAACAGGAUUAGAUACCCUGGUAGUCCUAGCGGUAAACGAUGGGCACUAGGUGUUGGGGGUAUUGACCCCCCCAGUGCCGAAGCUAACGCAUUAAGUGCCCCGCCUGGGGAGUACGGCCGCAAGGUUGAAACUCAAAGGAAUUGACGG